GACGAACGCUGGCGGCGUGCUUAACACAUGCAAGUCGAGCGGUAAGGCCCUUCGGGGUACACGAGCGGCGAACGGGUGAGUAACACGUGGGUGAUCUGCCUCGCACUCUGGGAUAAGCCUGGGAAACUGGGUCUAAUACCGGAUAUGACCACGAAUCGCAUGGUUUGUGGUGGAAAGGUUUACUGGUGCGAGAUGGGCCCGCGGCCUAUCAGCUUGUUGGUGGGGUAACGGCCUACCAAGGCGACGACGGGUAGCCGGCCUGAGAGGGCGACCGGCCACACUGGGACUGAGACACGGCCCAGACUCCUACGGGAGGCAGCAGUGGGGAAUAUUGCACAAUGGGCGAAAGCCUGAUGCAGCGACGCCGCGUGAGGGAUGACGGCCUUCGGGUUGUAAACCUCUUUCGACAGGGACGAAGCGCAAGUGACGGUACCUGUAGAAGAAGCACCGGCCAACUACGUGCCAGCAGCC
rnacentral:rRNA from 1 species